rnacentral:rRNA from 1 species
UACGAAGGGUGCAAGCGUUAAUCGGAAUUACUGGGCGUAAAGGGUGCGUAGGCGGUUGUUUAAGUCUGUCGUGAAAUCCCCGGGCCCAACCUGGGAAUGGCGAUGGAUACUGGGCAGCUAGAGUGUGUCAGAGGAUGGUGGAAUUCCCGGUGUAGCGGUGAAAUGCGUAGAGAUCGGGAGGAACAUCAGUGGCGAAGGCGGCCAUCUGGGACAACACUGACGCUGAAGCACGAAAGCGUGGGGAGCAAACAGG